rnacentral:rRNA from 1 species
AAUGAACGCUGGCGGCAUGCCUAACACAUGCAAGUCGAACGGCAGCACAGUAAGCUCUUGCUCUUGCGGUUGGCGGGUGGCGGGCGGGUAACGCAUGCAUCGGCAUCUUCUUUUUCUUGGGUGAUAACGUAGGACAACUUCCACUACUACCGCAUAUUUCGUACCGUUGAGUGCACGGGAUCUUCUCGCCUUUCGCGAUUGUAUUAGCCGAUGUCGCAUUAGCUAGUUGGCUGGGUAAGGGCCCACCAAGGCAACGAUCCGUAGCUGAUCUGAGAGGAUGAUAAGCCACACUGGAACUGAGACACGGUCCAGACUCCUACGGGAGGCAGCAGUGGGGAAUAUUGGGCAACGGGCGAAAGCCUGACACAGCAAAACCGCGUGGGUGAAGAAGGCCUUCGGGUGGUAAAGCCCUGUUGUUGGGAAAGAAAAGAAGAAGGUUAAUCCGCGGCGGUCAUGACGGUACCGAAAGAAUAAGCACCGGCUAACUACGUG